CAGCUGAUCAAACCAGGGGAAUCUCUGUCCACACCCUUUCAAAGUGAAGCAUUGCACUUGUCCUUUUCCAGUUUCUGCCAGGGCCUUUGGUGGUCUUUUCUGCUCUCUGAAUGCCUGAGAGGGCUGUCUGGGGUGGUCUUUGUUCUUGUAAGGAGGUAUUUUAGGGGCUUGUUAGAACUGUGCUGUGCUCUGGCGUAUAGAGUGAAAUGGCAAGGAUAGAGGGGGUUACAGUUUACGUUCCGAACCUUCAAAGAGACAACCUCCUGGCUCCUAGGUACAGAGCUCGAGAUCAGCCAUCUCCCCCUGAGAGUUCUCCUCGAGCCUCCUUCCUUCUGUGGGUUCCCACGGCCAGACUAGGGGAUUGGGUCAUAUUACAUUCUACACUUCAAACAAUGCUUCAGGAAAAGAGGCAGUGUGUCCUGCCUUUGUGCAGUUAGAGCCUUGGGGUAGUGUUCUUAAAAUGCAUUAAGGGAAAGUGGAAUCUAUGCUGCUAAACAAACAAAUCCAGCGUCCAACAUUUUGGGUGGCACAGGGAGACUCUGUGAGGUGAUGUUUUACCCCAUUCUGACUGUGCUCGUUGGGAAAAGUAUCAGGGUAUGUUUUUUAGACUGGAGCAGAGGGUUCCUCUGGAAAAAGGGUUUGAGAUUUAAGAGAAGGUUGAGUGUCAGUAAAAGCAUCGCCUACACAGCUUUUCCAUUGGCAUCUGCACUAGUGGAGACCAAGGCAGCAAUUGUGUUGGGCACAAUCAUGGUAUUUAUCUCACCAAGAUGUAUGUAAGAUGUCAGUAUCUUUAAUUCAUGGCUGGCCACCUGCACAGGAAACCAGGCAGACAGAAUAUACUUUAGGAUCUUAAUUUAAACCUAUUAAAGUUUUUCUUCUCUUUUGAAAAGUGAUAAGGAGAUUCAUAAUCUAUGGUUUAGGUAGACACUUACCAACCAAAUAUUUUUAAGAGUUUUAAAGCUUUUAAAUGGGAAGAGCUAUACCCCAAACCUGUCAAGGGUCAGUGGUCAAAACAAAUCUCACAUGCCACAUGGUAUGGGUCUAAAGGUCUUUAUUAGGGAAAGGGGAUUUUCAUGAAGAGAAAGCACAGAUUCCCCAUCCUUUCAUGACCCACAGAGAAGCCUGCUGGACGUGCAGCAUGGGCUCAUUUUUACAGGGUGAACUUGAGAAAGCAUUUAUUGAUGGGCCAAUGAGCAGGUUGUCUGGUACCAGGCAGUCUGCAUUUCGGGUGCUAAUUAUGCACUGAGGCUAUCUGGGAAUGCUGGCAGCCCAGCACCUUGGCUUGGGAACCCAUGAGAAGUUACAGACCCUCUACAAAAGGGAAGGGAGCCACCGGUCCCUGGGAAGCUGAGUUUUGGUGAAACCCUUCCCACUAGAGAGGGGAGGUGAAGCCCCCUUCCCAAGUCACAGCUGGCUCAUUUCCAGGUAAUCCAGCAUGAGCUCCUAGGGAUGCUUGUGGGCAGUUCUGGUCAUUGCAUCAUUGCAUCACAAAUAUGCUCAGAUAUAAUAGUGUCUGAGCGUAUUUCACAAAGUCUAAUCUUGGCUGUUGGCAAAGCUGAAACAACCUCUCUCACACGUAUCAUUUUGGUGUUAAAACCUUGUCCCACUUCAGCUCCAUCAUGACCUGUCAAUGCAGCCGGCCCCAUCUGUGCAGAUGGGAACCAGAACAUCAACCUGGAAAUAAAAUUGGAAAUCUGUUCUUCCUGCCAUCAAUAGGUGAAUCUUUGACAGUGACGCAGUCACAAAUGGAGUACCAGAAGUCCCUAAAAUAAAGCUACAGUUUCAUUCAAGUACGUAGAGGACCACUGGUUUUCUUAAAAGGUGUGUGCCACCCAUGAAUAGCAAAGCUGCCAUUCCAGGAGAACCGUGAAGUAGAGGAAAGCCUGCGUGUACACUGUGUUGUUCGAGUCUAGUCGUGAGCUGUGUCCCGGUCCUCUUGCCAUUUUCAGCUGCACUUAUCGUUCCAGAGUCUGCAGGACACUGUUCUCCCUUCUGCAUGGCUCCUAGUGUGAGGUUGAACUCAACAAGGAACGCGCUCACCCUGCUUCUCUUACUCUGCAAAGCAGCAACAAACUGAUGCAAACUGUCAACACCCGGCAGAGCUGAGAACUCCCUGUCCUGUGCUGGGUUUCAGACUCUUCGCCCUCAGUUGUCGUCUGGGGAUUGCUGCUCUGUCCUGGAAUCCCCCUGAGCCUUGGUCCUGGAAGGACUUUGCUGAAAGCUCUAGCCAUAGAAGGUAUCUCACCUCUGACAGGCCCACUGAAUGAUCUGUGUUGUAUGGCAUCCUGUGGGAGGCAACAAACAAAAAGUAUUACCAAUAUAGUGCAACUCAAGAUUUCUGACUUCAGUCACGUCCACAGCCCUCAUGCUGAGAGGCAGACGUGAUGCUAUCACUUCAGAAUUCCCUCAGACAGCACAGAUACCAGUCAUGAAGUCCUGGUGCCUCAGAGGGUACAGCACUUCUCAAACCAUGUAUCCUGACCUGGUACAUUUCAGAAAAUAUGACUACCGAGUAAUGGAACCACGUCACGUGUGUACUUAACCUACCAUGAACUUCAGCCUUCGCUGAAACUGGGACUCGGCCACCUCCUUUCAUCCUCACAACCAACCACAAACAUUCCGGAGGCUUAAUAAUAGGUUCGUCCAAUCCCUGCAGGCGAGCAGGUGCUCUUUGGAAUUCUCCACCCACUCCUAGUCAGAAAUUUGAUGGGAAUGUUAAAGGAGAAUGAUUUCAGUAUUCAGAAACCUGCAUAGAAACGCAACCUCUGUCCCUUACUUUAGGUCACGUUGUCCUCAGGCUUUAGUUUGCAUAAGCAUUAACAAUUAGGAUCAUUUGUGUAAAACCUUGUGUUCCGGACUCUAUGGACAAUUCAAGGGAUUUUUCAAGGUUACUUUUAAAAUUUAUUUUUCAAAAUUAAAUAGCACAAAUGAAACAGAAUCAAAAUGUAUUUGAUGAAGAGUCUUGCCCCCAUCCCUCUCCCUCUGCCUAAUUUCCACCCAGUCCCACCAAAGAUCACCAGGAUCCCCACUGUUGUUAGUCUCUUGUGUGUUCUUCCAGAGUUCCUAGAGGCAAAUACAAGCAAAUAUGAAUGUGUAUUAUAACCUUCCUUUGUACAAACAUUUUCCUACAUUUUUUCUUUCAUUUUUCAGCAUAAGUUGGAGAUCUUUGUACAUAGCGAACAUCCUCAUUCUUUAUAUAUAUAUAUAUAUAUAAUCUACAUAUAUAUAUAGCUAUGUAUGUAUAUAUAUAUAUAGAAAGAGAGAGAGAGCUACAUAGAAUUCCAUUGUGUCGAUAGAUGGCACUUGUGUUGUUUCUGAUGUUUUACUAUUAAAAACAGUGCUGCAGUGAAUAACUUUGAAAACCCAUUAUUUUGAAUGUGUUGAAACUAAGCUUCAGGAUGAAUUCCAGAGCAGGGUUGCUGGGUCAAAGGGUAUAUGCCUUUGGAAUUUUGAUAGACGUUGCUAAAUUUCCCUUCAUAAGAUCAUUCCAAUUUACACUCUUGUCAGCAGGAUAGGUGAGUACCUGUUUUCUCAGCUUGUCGACAGCUUGUCAGCUGAAUGUGCUGUCACGUUUUUGUCUCUUUGCCCCUCUGAGAGAGUACAAGUGGCAUUUCAUUGUAGCUUUUGUUUUGAAUGUCUCCUACCAGUAGUAAGACCAAAUAUCUCUUCCUAUAUACAAGGGCUGUUUAUAUUUUCUCCAUGUGAUCUGUCUGCUUGCAUCUUUUGCCCACUUUUAUGUUGGCUUUUUCUUCUUGAUUUCCAGGAGAUUUCUAUAUACUUAGGAAGUUAACUUGUUGUCUGUGGUUUGGUUUGCAAAUAUUUUCCCCAGUUGAUGCUUGUCUUUGAACUUUGCUUAUUAUAUUAUUCUUUAUGCAGAAGUGUAUUAUUUUAUGUAAUUGAACUUUUUUAUUUUUGAUGAAAUUUAGAGUUUGAGUCAUAGUUAGAAAUACUAUAGGGAAAUUCUCUCAUGGUUUUUUUCUUUGGAUUUCAUUUCUGACAUUUGAACUUUUAAGCCUUUUUAUCAUGGUUUCUCUUGGUGUAGUGGUGUAUGUUAAGGUUGAUUUUGAUUAUUCUUGAUUUUUCACUUGGAACUGACCCUAAGUGAGAUAUGAUUUGCUACUGUGAUCAUUUGUGAACAAAUCUUCAGUUUCUGUCCUUAGAUAGAGGAGCAGAGGGUGUCUGGUCGGCUGCCCAGCCUGGGCAGUGUAAGGCAAACGGUUCUUAUCCUGGCCCUCCUCUACAUAAUAGUGCUGUUCCCCUUUUCAGUGGAUCUAUCAGGAACCCACAAAAGGAAUUCCUGUAGCUUUACCUUGGAAUGUGACCCCAAAAGUGCAGAAAAGCCCAGAAAAAAAGGGAUACUCCUCACACCCAGUGGAGAGUGAACCCAUUCCAAGUGGAGCAAGAGAAAACCAAAAGACAGUGAGGGACUGGGACAGCUGGAAACUGGGACAGGAGCCAAGAGAAACAGACUUCAAAUUCUAAAAUAUAAAAAAGGCAAAGAUGGGAACUUUCUGAGAGUCCAACGUCAGAUCUGGAAUUUGCGGUUUUCCUCAAUGGUUUCCCUUUAGGAGAACCAGGAGCUCUGCAGGUGUGCUUAGCGGCAGCAAGGGGCCCUUGGCGGCUGAGGGGACACGUUUGCACCCAGUGGUAAGAGAGAGAAAGGGCGACUGAAAUUAUGGGGGAGAAAAUGUGCUUUCCGGUCUGUGCUACUUCUGCAGGGAAGUACCCCACAAGAUAAAGGGAGUGUUUUCACAAGCACUGUGAGAACAACAUGCUUUGGAAGUUUCUGGAAAGACCCACUGCCAAAUAAGCAAAAGACCGAUUGGACCCAACGCCCCCAUCGCAGUCUCUAUGCCUUGGCACAUGGUCUUCGCCGUUCCUGGUGGCUUGCCUGCUGUGAGUGAUGAAUUGGCUGCCACGGUAGAGGUGGUC